UUAUCCCUAGUUGCCAUCAGGUAAAGCUGGGAACUCUGGGGAGACUGCCGGUGAUAAACCGAAGGAAGCGGGGAUGACGUCAAGUCCUCAUGGCCCUUACAUCCCGGGCUACACACGUGCUACAAUGGCAGGUACAGAGGGCUGCGAAGCCGCGAGGUGGAGCGAAUCCCAGAAAACCUGUCUCAGUCCGGAUUGAAGUCUGCAACUCGACUUCAUGAAGGCGGAAUCGCUAGUAACCGCGAAUCAGCAGGUCGCGGUGAAUACCGUUCCCGGGCCUU
rnacentral:rRNA from 1 species